GUUACACUCUGUUGAUUCAAAAGAAGGUUGUUUGUCCAAGCUUGUCCAAGUCAGUUUCAAGAGGCUCAGCCACCAAAAGUUUCAUCAAAGAGGAAGCCAAGGUCAUCAGUAAAGCCUCACGAGAGGUACCUGGAACGGGCAGGAAAGAAAAAUGCAGAUAAGAAAAUUAAAACCACAGACUCCUGGGCAGCGAACAAGAGCCUUCUGAUCCUAAUUCGAUCUGGAGUUAAGAAUGAAGGGGAUUUCUGUAGCAGUUUCUUUUGCAUAGCAGAGCUCCGACUUUUCCAGCAACAGCGUGUCCCUGGAAGCUACACAAAGUCCUCUUUGAUUGCCUGUGAUCAAAGCCACGAAGGCUCUCCUGCAACAUCUUAGCUUCAGAAAGCCAGGAAAAUCAGAAUGCUGAGAGUAUAUUAAUAAUUCCUAAACAUAUUUUUAAGGUUCUUCAGGCCUGUCUCAGAGCUAUGGAGGAUGCAGCAAAAGGGAUGCCUUUGAUCUGCUGUCUCUGGAUGCACAAGGAGCUCAGAGAAACAACCAGGACACAGAACAAAACAAAGCAUGGAGCUCUAAUUUAGGGGUUUCAGCUAAGCGAGUCACUCAGCACCAGCACUGCACAGGAGGUAGGUCUUACAGCUUCCUUUAUGAGAAAGAUUUGUUCUUCUGUUUAUAGGUCAACAUAUAAGCCAAGAGAGUGCCAGGCCUUUAAAUAAGAAACACUGGAUGUUUUCUGCAACUUAAAUACAAGGCACGCUCUGAUGUGGACUUCCAGCUCAGAACCCAGGUUCUCGAACUCAUGAACGCAUUCAGCAUCCCUUGCUAUCACAACCAGCUUGACAGAAAGACCACAGGCCAAGUGCAGCAGAGUUCCAGAAAGUGAAUGCAGCAAAAUACCCUUGCUCUCUUUGAGGGUAUCAGAGCCAGGAGGGUGGCUGACUCUGAUGAUAGAACAAGAGCCAAAUAUGCUCCUGAUGCUCCAGUAGAGUGGUCUUCAGGUGAUCGAGAUUCCGAGCUCCCAAACCAAGGCAAGAAUAAGGAAACUGGAACAGGAGGGCAUGCUGGGCUCCAGCCUCCCGUGACAGUGAAACAUUGCCUUAGAAUGACUGUUGUUAAUACAAUUGAGGAAAUAUAACACGUAAUCUUGUGAUUAAGUUAUACACAAUUUGAUUUAAAUUUAGUUCCUGGCAGUUGCUAGGUUUCACUCUGGCAUACUCUCUCAGUGUGGAAGCUGCUGAUUCAGAAAGAGAUGUUCCAAAGCUCAUGUAUUUCCUGGACACAUCCAAGUACUGAAUAAAAUGCUGGUUAAAUAAAUGAGUUAAUUUUCCAAGAAAGACAC
rnacentral:lncRNA from 1 species